rnacentral:sRNA from 1 species
UAUAACAUCACAGAUUGUAUUGCGGACGC